UGGGUUGUGGCUCAGUGGCAGAGCACUUGCCUGGUGUGAGUGAGGCACUGAGUUCGAUCCUCAGCACCACAU
rnacentral:tRNA from 1 species